rnacentral:rRNA from 1 species
GAUGAACGCUGGCGGCGUGCCUAAUACAUGCAAGUCGAGCGAACAGACGAGGAGCUUGCUCCUCUGACGUUAGCGACGGACGGGUGAGUAACACGUGGAUAACCUACCUAUAAGACUGGGGUAACUGCGGGAAACCGGAGCUAAUACCGGGUAAUAUAUUGAACCGCAUGGUUCAAUAAUGAAAGACGGUUUUGCUGUCACUUAUAGGUGGAUCCGCGCCGCAUUAGCUAGUUGGUAAGGUAACGGCUUAACAAGGCAACGAUGCGUAGCCGAGCUGAGAGAGGGAUCGGCCACACUGGAACUGAGACACGGUCCAGACUCCUACGGGAGGCAGCAGUAGGGAAUCGUCCGCAAUGGGCGAAAGCCUGACGGAGCAACGCCGCGUGAGUUAUAAAGGUCUUCGGAGCGUAAAACUCUGUUAUUAGGGAAGAACAAAUGUGUAAGUAACUAUGCACUUCUUGACGGUACCUAAUCAGAAAGCCACGGCUAACUACGUG